rnacentral:rRNA from 1 species
UGGGGAAUCAUGGUCAAUGGGCGAAAGCCUGAACCUGCGACGCCGCGUGAGUGAUGAAGGUCGUAAGAUCGUAAAACUCUUUUCAGGGAUCUUAAAGCCUGUCUGUCAACAAUAGGCAGGUCUGACUCUCCCUGGAAGAAGCCCCAGCCAACUACGUGCCAGCAGCUGCGGUAAUACGUAGGGGGCAAGCGUUAUUCGGAAUUACUGGGUGUACAGGGUAUGUAGGCGGCCCUUCAAGUCGCGUGUCAAAGUCCAGUGCUCAACGCUGGGUGUGCGCGCGAUACUGACGUGCUUGAGGGCUGGAUAGGUGAGCGGAAUUCCCGGUGUAGUGGUAAAAUACGUAGAGAUCGGGAGGAACACCAGCGGCGCAGGCGGCUCACUAGACAGUUUCUGACGCUAAGAGACGAAAGCGUGGGGAGCAAACAGGAUGAGAUGCCCCUCUAGUC